GUCGACUUAGUUUAAUGGUAGAAUAGGUAACUUGUAAUACUUGGCACUAGUUCGAUUCUAGUAGUCGCA
rnacentral:tRNA from 1 species